CUUGGAUUGUGUACUGAACGCGCGAACAACAAGGAGGUAUUUGAACAUAAAUGAUGGACAUUAUCAAACAAAACAAACAUUUAUUAUGAUGAUCAUCAAAGGUGAGGCGCUGCAGUGCUAUGGCUGUAACAUCCUCCAGGGGCAGAUGUACGUGGAUGUGGGCUGCUCCAGCCCCAAGGUCAUCACUUGCUCCCACUCACACAAAGGCUUCAAGCACCGCUUCUGCAUUAAGACGGAGAGCAGUGCCAUGGGAAUCAUUCUGACCAGCGGUUGUGCCACGUCUCAGCACUGCCAACAGGAGCUACCCGGGGUGUGGAUCCACUGCUGUGUUUCAGACCUUUGCAACAGCACCCCCCACUGGCGCAGAACGACCUUACACUGGCUGUGCUCUUUGGCUACCCUGCUGCUGGUACUGUGGCUGCAAGUGUGAGAGAGAAUUUUGGAGCAGAGAAACACUGACUAACCCCCACUUCAGCCCUACUGUGUCCUAGACCAAAGCCAUUGGAGGAUCAAUAAGAGGCAUGCACCUGCAUGGAUACCUAGUGGAUGAGAAUACAAUCUUUAUGCAUUGGCAAGCCUGUGAAUAUUGUUAUUUUCAGUUUCCAUGUGCAUCAUAUUCUUUACGAG
ensembl:lncRNA